rnacentral:rRNA from 1 species
UACGAAGGGGGCUAGCGUUGCUCGGAAUCACUGGGCGUAAAGCGCACGUAGGCGGUCUUUUAAGUCAGGGGUGAAAUCCCCGAGCUCAACUCGGGAACUGCGUCCGAUACUGACAGGCUUGAAUCCGGGAGAGGGAUGCGGAAUUCCAGGUGUAGCGGUGAAAUGCGUAGAUAUCUGGAGGAACACCGGUGGCGAAGGCGGCAUCCUGGACCGGCAUUGACGUUCAGGCACGAAAGCGUGGGGAGCAAACAGG